CAGGGAUUGCCCUAGUAACGGCGAGUGAAGCGGCAACAGCUCAAAUUUGAAAUCUGGCCCUCGUGGUCCGAGUUGUAAUUUGCAGAGGAUGCUUUUGGUGCGGUGCCUUCCGAGUUCCCUGGAACGGGACGCCAGAGAGGGUGAGAGCCCCGUACGGUUGGACACCUACCCUAUACAUAGCUCCUUCGACGAGUCGAGUAGUUUGGGAAUGCUGCUCUAAAUGGGAGGUAAAUUUCUUCUAAAGCUAAAUACCGGCCAGAGACCGAUAGCGCACAAGUAGAGUGAUCGAAAGAUGAAAAGCACUUUGAAAAGAGGGUUAAAUAGCACGUGAAAUUGUUGAAAGGGAAGCGUUUGCGACCAGACCUUUUCCUGGCGGAUCAUCCGGUGUUCUCACCGGUGCACUUCGCCUGGUUUAGGCCAGCAUCGGUUUCCUUAGGGGGAUAAAGGCCUGGGGAACGUAGCUCUUUCGGGAGUGUUAUAGCCCCUAGCGUAAUACCCUUCAGGGGACCGAGGACCGCGCUUCGGCAAGGAUGCUGGCGUAAUGGUCGUCAACGACCCGUCUUGAAACACGGACCAAGGAGUCGAACAUUUGUGCGAGUGUUUGGGUGUUAAACCCUCACGCGUAAUGAAAGUGAACGGAGGUGAGAGCCCUUACGGGUGCAUCAUCGACCGAUCCUGAAGUCUUCGGAUGGAUUUGAGUAAGAGCAUAACUGUUCGGACCCGAAAGAUGGUGAACUAUGCGUGGAUAGGGUGAAGCCAGAGGAAACUCUGGUGGAGGCUCGCAGCGGUUCUGACGUGCAAAUCGAUCGUCAAAUCUGCGCAUGGGGGCGAAAGUACGUAUAAUAUCUCCCUGAUAUUUUGUUUUGUUUUACAGUAUGCUAACGAUUAUU
rnacentral:rRNA from 1 species